AAUUUUGGAUAAUGGGGGAAACCCUGAUCCAGCCAUCCCGCGUGUAUGAUGAAGGCCUNCGGGUUNUNAAGUACUUUUGGCAGAGNCGAAAAGGUACCUCCUAAUACGAGGUACUGCUGACGGUAUCUGCAGAAUAAGCACCGGCUAACUACGUGCCAGCAGCCGCGGUAAUACGUAGGGUGCAAGCGUUAAUCGAAGUUACUGGGUGUAAAUGGUGUGUAGGCGGUUCGGAAAGGAAAAUGUGAAUUCCCAGGGCUCAACCUUGGAACUGCAUUUUUAACUGCCGAGCUAGAGUAUGUCAGAGGGUGGUAGAAUUCCACGUGUAGCAGUGAAAUGCGUAGAUAUGUGGAGGAAUACCGAUGGCGAAGGCAGCCCCCUGGGAUAAUACUGACGCUCAGACACGAAAGCGUGGGGAGCAAACAG
rnacentral:rRNA from 1 species